rnacentral:tRNA from 1 species
GGUGUUGUGGUAUAGAGGGUUAAAGCCCCAGCUUGCGGCACUGGCAUCCCAUAUGGCCACGGGUUCAAAUCCCGGCAGCUCCA